CACCAGUUUAAUGAAUCCAAGAACAGUGUAUCAACCCUCAAGUCGACAACGCUUGAGUUUUGAGAAAAGUGCAUAACGUAAUCCCAGUCAAGUGUUUUGAGAAGGCUAACCUUUGUCACCACUGCUGCUGCUUCCUAUUUUCUCUUAACCGCUGACUAUGGCUCUCAACCCAAUGCUCUCGACCCUGUAAGUUCCAUUUUUUUUUUACCUCAAAGAAACAUUUUUUCUAUGAUUUCUUCGCUACCCAACACAGAUUCACUAUUAUAUUUUUAAAUUCCCAAGUGGGUUUUCUGUUUCUCGUUACUAACACCUUUUUUAAGUUGAUUUUGUUUGUUAUUAUUAUUUGUUGCAAUUUUGAAGUAUCGUCUUUCAUUGGUUUGAAGUUGGCUCUGCCUAUUGGGUUUCAUUCUAUUUGCAAGUUUGAUUUUCGAGGGGAAUUCUGUGGUGUUGGAACCCCUUUGGUGAUUGUUAAAUGGAGUAGAACUAAACUUAGAUUCUAGUAGUGAAUGGUGUAGGUAACAUUAUAAAAGGGUUUGUGAAUAUGUCAACCAAUCACCAUGUAACUUGGUUAUUGAGGAUGGUUCCUAUCUUCAAAACUAUUUACAUCAUCAAUAAUUUCAUCUUGGCAACUACAUACUUGUAUGUAGGGACCAUGUUUUAAUUAUAUAGCUCGAAUAGAAAGAGAAUGGAGUCAACAGAAAGAGAGUAGGGAUCUCAUGGUAAAUAAUUCAUCUCUAAAGAUUUGGUCUUACCAAGCCGAAUGGCAUCAGGUGAUUCAUGUAGUUGACCAAACUCUGUGGGAUGAGAAUUUUGUUGUUGUUGAUAUGAUUGGCUAAAUUGCAGGCAUAGCAGCUUGGGUUGGAUUGACCUUGGGAAGUGGGAACAAACAUUCCUGAGAGACUUGGUAGCCACUUUAGUUAUAGCUCUUGGGCAAUUUUGGAUCCAUUGGUAGCAUUUGGUAGAUUUGUUAAAACAAGAUGGAACAUAGUGUAUGAGUCGGCUUCUAUCGUGCAUUUCAAAAAUAGAAUAGAACUGCUUGAGGAGUUGAAAGUAGGCAUAUUUUGGUUUCCCUAAAAAGGGUGGAACCAAGGAGUAGAGAACAUCCUUGUUCUAUUCUGUUCAAUUCCAUGCUACCUUAAUUUGACGAGAACAGUAAAAGGAAAACACAGACCUGAUGCCUGGCAUUAUGCUGUCCUCUAGAAAUUGCAUUAGGAAGUAAGAUUAUAAGAAUAUGGCAUAGUACUUGAUCUGGAAUUGCAUUAACUUUACUGUAACAACACCAAAGAUACAAAAUUGAAAGCUUUGGAAAAGCUAAAGGACCAUUUAGUUUGAGAAAGUGUUUUCGAUUUUUCACUUUUAAUUAUAAAAAUGCCACAUUGUUUUCAUUUUGUUUUCAAUUUUCAAAUAUUUUCAUCUUGUUUGAGAAAAAAAGUUUUUUUCACCAUUUCCUAUACAAAGUUUUGAAAAUAGGAAAUAGAUUGAAAAUAGUGUGACAUUUUUAUAAUUUAAAGUAAAACCAGAGAAUGAAAAGAAAAAAUAUUUUCUCAUACCAAACAGCCCUUAAAAAUCUUUUAGAAAAAAUACUGACUUAAAGUGCGGAUAGGAUGCUCUUAGAAGUAUGCAAAUUGUGUUUACUUAGAUGAUGGAAGCUAGAGGUAUUUAAUUGGAAUAUUCAUUUCUUCUGUCUCAGAUCAAGCUGAUAGGUAUUAUGUGGAUAUAUGGCAAUGGUUAGAGAACAAUAUCCUAAUUUAUGUUUAUUUCCCUUUAUAUUGUUCUGUUCGUGAGGGUUUCUUGACUUGGCAUUAACUCUUCUGUUUUUCAUGUACAAUGUUUAUGAAACAAAAAGAUUUUUCUCAUUUACAAUAUGACUGCAUUUACAUUAGUUUGUCUCUUGUAAAUUUGAAAAUUAGAUCUUGAGAAAUGGCACAAAGCAGGUUUCGUGGGCUUGCAUUCCUGUAUGGCAGAAUUGUGAGCCGUGAUAUAUGCCCCAAGUAGUAGUUUCCUUGGUGGAUUAAAACCUGUAGCCAUACAAUUGCCAAUGAAUAGGUGCCCUUCACAAUUAGAAAGCUCAUGCUUCACUUGCAAGACUGUCUGAAUGAUUGGCCUGAUGUAUCCAAGCAAAGACAAGUUUAGCUUUGUUUCAGGCACCAUUGCAGAUUAAGAAGCAAAAACUUUCUGCACAGAGUACUGUGAAAGAGUAUAUUUGGGGAUCAAAGAAAGAGUCUCAAGAAAAUCAUGUGGGGAAAUUGGACAGCAACUAAGAAAAUCCAUAAAUUUAUGGUAGUCUUUAAAGGAACAUCAUGCUGAGUCAAGGUUUUCUUUUAGCAGUUUGAACUGUAGUGUAAUGGAAUGGUGCAAUGAAUAGAGGCGGAGAACGAAGAACCGGUAGAUUUAUUUGUCAGCAUUAUCAUUGUCAUUAAUAAGACCAUUACAUCAUAAUCAUGUUUCAGCUGCUGCUCUCUACCCCCACAACCCUUUAUCUUAUGCAUCUGCAUCUGUAUUGUUUUUCUUUCCUUUGUUUUUCUUUUAUCUGGAUUUGAGAUACAAAUGUAAUUGAGAAGGGUGUUUUGCACAUCAAAUAAGCACUUGCAUUAGUCAAAUCCGAGGUUCUAUUGUUAAAA